AUUUAUUCAUUUUUUUCCAACCGUGCACACGUUCGCAGAUUUUCCAUUUUGGGUCCCGGUGUCUGUAUAGGUCCGGAACGGUUUUCCGAAAAAUUCUUACUCUCCGAACAGUGGUGGGCAAAACGAAAAUCACAAAUUAAAUACUUAUACGGCCGCGCGAUUAGAAACGCAUGUUAGUUGAAAAUCGACGUAUUGUCGAUCACGACUCGAUGGUGUACCUCGGUUAAUUUCUGUGAUUUUUUUUUUUUUUUUUAUGUGGUUUUUCCCAUUAUUGAGAAACCUGAAGAUCAAAAACGACUCCCUUGCACACCGACUAGACAACAUUUUCAACAAAUUUCUAUAGAUAUGAAUUGAAUUCCCCUCUAUAAUAUAUUAUUCUACCUUUCCGACUUUUCACCAACAACAGUGACCCACCGUAUAAUAAUACAAUACAGUAAAACCAAUGUAGCCGAGUUCGCCGAGUUCGGAAUCCGAUACGCGUCAAACGAAUUUGUUUUUGGAAUUUAUCGUCAACUUACCCCCAUCGUCGUGGAUAAAUUAAAACUUUGUUUUCGUCGACGAGGGUGCCGGACUGCCGCGGUGAGUUUGUGUACAACUGCUAUAGGGUGAGCGAAACGGACACCACGUGAAAUAUUAACGGCUGGGUCGAUUGGUUUCGAAAAUUCAUUACUACCUAAAUAAUACCAUACGUGCACAGGUACACUCGGCACGGUGGCGACUCCGUGAUAAUAAUAAUAAAUAAUAAAACUAACGCCGACGGCACGGCGGUCAUUAAUUAUCGUCCAACACAAUGGAAAACUAUUCGAUUUCCUCUGCCCUUUGCGCAUUUGUUUGUUUGUAGCUUUUUGUCAGACGAGUGUAAGCAAA